CAGUAGCCACGGUAAUACGUAGGUGGCAAGCGUUGUCCGGAAUUAUUGGGCGUAAAGGGCUCGCAGGCGGUUUCUUAGGUCUGAUGUGAAAGCCCCCGGCUCAACCGGGGAGGGUCAUUGGAAACUGGGAAACUUGAGUGCAGAAGAGGAGAGUGGAAUUCCACGUGUAGCGGUGAAAUGUGUAGAGAUGUGGAGGAACACCAGUGGCGAAGGCGACUCUCUGGUCUGUAACUGACGCUGAGGAGCGAAAGCGUGGGGAGCGUACAGGAUUAGAUACCCCGGUAGUCCCUGUCUCUUAUAC
rnacentral:rRNA from 1 species